CCUACGGGAGGCUGCAGUGGGGAAUAUUGGACAAUGGGGGCAACCCUGAUCCAGCCAUGCCGCGUGUGUGAAGAAGGCCCUCGGGUUGUAAAGCACUUUCAGUGAGGAAGAACGCCUGGUGGUUAAUACCCAUCAGGAAAGACAUCACUCACAGAAGAAGCACCGGCUAACUCCGUGCCAGCAGCCGCGGUAAUACGGAGGGUGCGAGCGUUAAUCGGAAUUACUGGGCUUAAAGCGCGCGUAGGUGGCUUGAUAAGCCGGUUGUGAAAGCCCCGGGCUCAACCUGGGAACGGCAUCCGGAACUGUCAAGCUAGAGUGCAGGAGAGGAAGGUAGAAUUCCCGGUGUAGCGGUGAAAUGCGUAGAGAUCGGGAGGAAUACCAGUGGCGAAGGCGGCCUUCUGGACUGACACUGACACUGAGGUGCGAAAGCGUGGGUAGCAAACAGGAUUAGAUACCCGUGUAGUC
rnacentral:rRNA from 1 species